rnacentral:SRP_RNA from 1 species
GCCGGGUGUGGUGGCGCACACCUGAAAUCCCAGCUACUAGGGAGGCUGAGGCAGGAGAAUUGCUUGAAGCCAGGAGGUGGAGAUUGCAGUGAGCUCAGAUCACGCCACUGCACUCCAGCCUGGGCAACAGAGCGAGAUUCUGUCUCAA